rnacentral:antisense_RNA from 1 species
CUUCAACGAGCCGAGCCACAACGGGCGUUCGCCGGGGUCCCCGUAGGCGGCCUGGAGUGCCUGGACCUC